AGGACGAACGCUGGCGGCGUGCUUAACACAUGCAAGUCGAGCGGAAAGGCCCUUCGGGGUACUCGAGCGGCGAACGGGUGAGUAACACGUGAGCAACCUGCCCUUAGCUCCGGGAUAGCUCCGGGAAACCGGAAUUAAUACCGGAUACGACCACGGCCGACAUCUGCUGUGGUGGAAAGGAUUCCGGCUAAGGAUGGGCUCGCGGCCUAUCAGCUAGUUGGUGGAGUAACGGCCCACCAAGGCGACGACGGGUAGCCGGCCUGAGAGGGCGACCGGCCAACGACUCGGGACUGAGACACGGCCCAGACUCCUACGGGAGGCAGCAGUGGGAAUAUUGCGCAAUGGGCGAAAGCCUGACGCAGCGACGCCGCGUGGGGGAUGAAGGCCUUCGGGUUGUAAACCCUUUCAGCAGGGACGAAGCGAAAGUGACGGUACCUGCAGAAGAAGCGCCGGCUAACUACGUGCCAGCAGCCGC
rnacentral:rRNA from 1 species